rnacentral:rRNA from 1 species
AACGAACGCUGGCGGCAGGCCUAACACAUGCAAGUCGAGCGAAGCCUUCGGGCUUAGCGGCGGACGGGUGAGUAAUGCUUAGGAAUCUGCCUAUUAGUGGGGGACAACAUUCCGAAAGGGAUGCUAAUACCGCAUACGUCCUACGGGAGAAAGCAGGGGAUCUUUAUGACCUUGCGCUAAUAGAUGAGCCUAAGGCGGAUUAGCUAGUUGGUGGGGUAAAGGCCUACCAAGGCGACGAUCUGUAGCGGGUCUGAGAGGAUGAUCCGCCACACUGGGAAUGAGACACGGCCCAGACUCCUACGGGAGGCAGCAGUGGGGAAUAUUGGGCAAUGGGGGGAACCCUGAUCCAGCCAUGCCGCGUGUGUGAAGAAGGCCUUUUGGUUGUAAAGCACUUUAAGUGGGGAGGAGGCUUACCUGGUUAAUACCUGGGCUAAGUGGACGUUACCCACAGAAUAAGCACCGGCUAACUCUGUGCCAGCCGCCGCCGUAAGAC